rnacentral:lncRNA from 1 species
UUGGGGUGAGAUUUGGCUUUGAAUUGGGGAGCUUUCUGUGAACCUUUAAAACUCUGGUCGUCCUGAGUGCUCUGCUCGCAAAUGAUAUCCGCACUCUUUCAAGUGGUCUUUUGAGAAAUGAAGACUCAGGAGUCUGCAGAGUCCGAAUCUUUUUAAGAAAGGAAACAGCUCUCGCUAGUAUUAAGAAAGGAUCCAAAAGCUGCCUCCACCCCACCCCACCCCGCUUCUGAAAGGUGGGGGGUUAGGCGGCUGUGCUUCACCAGCAAACCUAAAUAAAAUAUACUCUGAGUUAAUUUGAAAUGCUUUAGAAAAAGAGAAGAGUAGACAACUCACGUGGGAAACCUUGAAAACCCAAAGGCGGUGGAUUUCCCUGGGCCUGGUGUAUAAAGGUAACCGAAUAAUCUAAAGGUUUCCAGAGCCUCUUUGCCAUUAUUCCUCCCUCCCCGAAUAUACACCCACCCCAGUUAAGUCUCCUUCUCGCCAGGUGUACUGAGAAAGUAGAGAAGAAUGACUACAGAGGAGUCUGGACCCUCCUAAAUUAGGUUUGAAUUCCUAAAGAGAAGAAAAAUAUUUCUUUCUCAGGGAUGAGAGAUGGACGUGGGGGUAGGGGGAGGUGUCUUUUACUCUUCCAUCCAUAAAGACACGUUUUGAGGAUAUUUGACGUUCCUAUCCUAGGAGUCUCCAAAGCAAGCAGUUAGAGUUUCCAGAGGAUACAGAAGGCCGUGCAACCCAGCAUGAGCGGCCUGCUCACUCUUCCCAAGAUUCUCGCAGGAAUCUGACACAGCAGACCCCAUGCUCCCCUGCUUUUCUGCGCCCCACAGUAUUUAGCUUGCCUGCAGCAGUGCCCUAGGCCACUAGCCAUUCCCGAUGGAAGGACACACAGAGAGUGGAAAAAGCAGGUCUUGCUCGGAAUUGCUGCCCUCCUGGGACCUUCAACCACAGCCAAUGGGCUGGGCCCGGGUUCGAGAGGUGAAAGUUCAGGCCCCGGGCUCGCCCCUAGCUCCGCUGCUCAAGUCGCCUCUCUCACAGCUCCUUCACCCUCGGCCCCUCUGCAAUCCCAGCCCGGCUACCAGGGGCUGCCACGGUGGCACGUAGUUUGUUGAUGGGUGGUCAUAAAAUAUAUUUAUUUGCAAUUCCUUGAACUCGCCCACCACCCCCGCCCCGCGAUGUGGCCCUGAACACUGCAGGCUUUGUUCUCCUGAGCUGGCUGCUGGAGCCGGCCGGGAUUUAGCGCGCGAGCAGACUCC